UGAGUUUAGCCUCACGGGUACGCA
rnacentral:piRNA from 1 species